CAGGGGGCACUUUCGGCUUCUGCGUGGCCUCUGGGAAUGGGCGCCCAGACUCAGGUAUGCCCUCUCCUCUUCCUCAGCCCCAUGGCUGGGGCGGCCUUAGCAAACAAGGCAGGGCCUUCUGGCUGUGGUCAGAGGCUUUUCUGGUCUUUGGCUGAGCCGUGCAGCUCUGGGAAUUCAGAAAGCCUCUGACUACAGGACUAGGCUUCUCCCCUCAGGGGCUCUUUCUGAAUUGUCCAGGGCUCUCUAGGAGUCUGCACCUGCAGAGCCUUUGCCCUAGGCAACUGCAGCUGAGAGUGCGUUGGUGGGGAGUGUGCGGGAGGGGGUAGAGUUGGCAGGUUUGACUCCACUGUCCCCCUGCUGUCUGAUGACAUCUUGAAAUUAGAAGCUUAGGCCGGGCGCAGUGGCUCAUGCCUGUAAUCCCAGAACUUUGGGAGGCCGAGGCGCCUGGAUCACCUGAGGUCAGGAGUUCGAGACCAGUCUGGCCCACAUGGUGAAACCCAUGUCUACUAAAAAUACAAAAUUAGCUGGGCGUGGUGGCGCAUGCCUAUAAUCCCAGCUACUUGGGAGGCUGAGGCAGGAGAAUUGCUUGAACCCGGGAGGUAGAGGUUGCAGUGAGCCGAGAUUGCGCCAUUGCACUCCAGCCUGGGCAACAAGAGCAAAACUUCAUCUCAAAGGAAAAAAAAAAAGAAAUAAAUAAAUUAGAAUUUUGAAGGCCAUCUUUGCAGAGGAGAGCCAGAGGGAAACUGUCUGUGCCUGCUGGUUCUCAGCAGUCCCUUUGAUGUGGCUGCGUUGAAACGGUUCCUUUCCUCCGGCUGUGGAGUAUGUCUGGGCACGUGGAGCAUGCCUGUCUGUCUCUGCAUCCCGUCCCUCCCUCAGGCCUGUGCCCGAUGAUUAUGUUCAGAUGAAUCCUGGCUGCAGGCCUCUGACUGGGGUGUGCUCUGGGUCUCAAUUCAACCCAGGCAAUGGCAGGGAGAAGUCCUGGACAUCAUUCUGCACUCUGACCAGUUCUCAGUUCCACCCCAUCCAUGAGUCUUUCAGGGCAACGUGACUUGCAAAAGCCCACGCCCAAGGUCUGUGGUCCAGAAUGCAUCUCAAGGGCCCAUAAAAGACAUUCCCCAGAGGAUCAGGGAAGGAAGACACGUAUGUGAGGGUGGGGAAGGAGGGGAGGGGAAGGAAGGAGAGAGAAAGGGAGAGACAGAUACAGAAAGACGAACACAGAAGCCUGCUGCGGCCGGGCUCUGCCGAUGGGGGGUUGAGUCCUGUGCUUUGAUCUCCUAGCUCAAUGCUGUUUAGCCUGGAAAAAAGUCUGCCUGCUACCACAUUUGCAGACCACAGCAUGAGUUCUCAUGUCUGUUCCAUCAUUGUUUCAGCAAAUAUAUACUAAGCACCUACUAUGUGUUAUAGAUACGGGGGAUACAGCAGUAAAUGGAACAGACCAAAUCCCUAUCCUCAUGAAUAUACUACCCAGUGAGCAGUUAGAUUGUAUCUAUAAAAUGUGUACUCUUGUUAUGUAUAAUGUGCUACGUAUGUCAGAUGGUGAAAAGAAAGUUCUGAGAAACAGACAGAUAAAGCAGGUGUGGCAGGUGCUGGUAUAGACAGGAGUGUGGGGAGGCUUUUCUGAGAAGAUGACACUUGAGCAGGGCCGUGGAUGGGGCGAGGAAGGGGCCCCAUGGGUGUCUGGGGAAGAGCAUUCCGGCAGACUGAACAGCAAGUGCGGAGCCCUGGUGGAGGGGCGAGCCUGGCCUGUGAGAACUGUGAGGGUCAGGCUGGACACUGCAGAGCAGGCAACGGGUUGGGAGGAGCAGAGUUUGGAAAGAUGGGGUUGUGCCACUGUAAGGGGCUUUGGCUUUCAUGCCGAAUGAGAUGGGAGCCACUAGAGGGCUCGGAGCGAGCACUGAGACUCUCUAAUGUCUAUGAGAAUAGACCCCAGUGGGACACGGGUGGAGCCAGGGAGCCCUGUGUUGAAGCUAUUUCAGCAGUCCAGGACAGAGACAGUGGUGCCUGGACUGGGAACGGCUGUGGAGAUGGGGAGAGGGGAGAGGGGACAGGGGUUGGAUUCUGGUUGAUUUGACUAUUUGCUGAUGAGCUGGACAUGUAAGAGGAAGAGAGGACAGGUCUCUGCCUACUCUGGACCUCAGGAGGAUAAAAAGUCCUUCCUCACAGGCCUUCCCGUAGCCUCCUCUCCCGUUAGGGGAGCAGGACAGGCCCCCCGGACAGGUGGUGUGAAGGCAGAGGCAGACAACGCAGCAUGUUUGUGCUCCGGCACCUCUGCUGGCUAUGUGAUCUAGAGCAGGCGACAUCCCCACUGAGCCUCACUCAGUUCCCUAAUCUGUGAAAUGAGGAUGACAAAACCUACCUAGAAGAGUCAUAAGGAGCAUUUGGUAAGGCACACAGGAAAGGGCCUAGCAUUUUUCUUCCCUCCCCUUCAGAAAGAGAAAGUCUGGGGAAGAGAACCCCAGACAGGGACCAGCGUGAUCCGCAUUCACCUGUCGAUGUGAGUGCACACACAACAGGUCAUUGUACUCUGCCGCCCACCCUCCCCCAGAGUCCCUUUUUGCUCCCUUGUAGGCAGUGGGAGCCCCUCCCUGUCACCCGUCAGGGAGCUCUGAUGGGCAGGGGUCUCUAGUGACCCAGGGCCCCCGGCACCCUCGCCUGAGUUGGUGCCAGCUCCCCGUUGUGCCCAGGCACUCCCUGGUCCUGCUGCCAUCAUGGGCGCUGGAUGGCACACAGGGGUCCCCACGCACAUGAAGCCUGGCGAGUGCUGGGGCCUCCGUGUCCCAGGCCAUCCUCCAACAGCAGAGGGUCGCUUCUUCCAGGCUCCAAGGGGCUGUGAGGAGGGCUGGCUUGCGCCCCGCACUGAACCGGCAGGAUGCUGGUAUUAACUUGCUGGCUUUCACAUCCGACUCUAUAUGAGCCUGUGAGAACAGCAGGCUUUGCCUUCUGCUUCUAAUUGGAUACAACAUAGAGAUCACACAUCCUCAACAAAGGCCAUUUCCAGCAGACAAUAAAUGCCUAUGACAGCAGGCUGUC
rnacentral:lncRNA from 1 species